UUGGCCAUUUUGAUUUUAGUGAUAGAUGUUCAUUAUAAUCAUUGAUUAACAAUGACCAACUAUCAGCAUACAUAACUUUUACAUAUCUUGAAAAGGGAUUUUGGUUUGAAAUCUCUCCGUUAUUAUAAACAAAAGAUUAUAUAAAUUAAUUUGCACCACUAAAACCAAUAUACAGUAUAUAUAUAUGGUUUAUAUAUGCUAUAUAUAUUUAUAUAUGGUUUAUAUAUAUUUCCCCAAAAAAAUGGUUUAUAUGUAGGUAACCAUCAUUUUUUGUUGCUAGCAAUUUCAUGACGACAAUUACUAAUUUUCUCCACUAUAUUCCGUGUUCUCCCUUCAACUCUUCCUUCGUUAUAGUCUAUCCAACCUGAUGUAAUUGAUUCCAUUAGGGCCGCCUGUCCAAUCCAUCUCUUAUCAAACCGAAAUUGUCCUUUCCUCUUGGUAACUUUAUCCUCAAGAUAAGCCACCACAGGCCGAUGAUCAGAUGCCACCAUUCCAAGAUACUCUGUAAAAGAACAUGGGAAUAAAGUGUGUCAUUCUUCAUUCGCUAAAGCACGAUCUAGACGGCAUCUAACCGUCACUGCCCCUUUUCCUUUUCCUCUUCUCCAUUGCCACGACAUUUUAUUCCCCCGGGCCGGGAAUUCGAGUAAACCGCUAUUUCUUAUCAUGUUAUUAAAAGGAAUAAACGAAUCUGCACUCCUUAUAGAUCCCCCAUAUUUUUCAUGAUUUCCUGUAAUCUCGUUGAGGUCACCAAUAAUAAACCAUGGUUCAGAUCGCGCUAGCCCAUACCUAGUUAACCGUUCCCACACUUGCUCUCGCAUCUUUUGAACUGGAUCUCCAUAUACAAAAGUAAGAUAAACCUGUUUACCAAGAACCUCCGCUUCCACAUCAAUCAUUCGAUUGCUAGAAUAUAAAACUUUUACCUGAAACUCAUUAUUAUAAAAAAUUGCUAAACCCCCACUUCUCCCCAAUGGAUCCACUGUGACCAGAUUAUCAUAUCCAAAGUGAGCUUGAAAUUUCUGAACAAAAUCUGGUUCUUGUUUAGUUUCUGCUAGAAAUAAAAAAUCUGGUUUGUGUUUAUGCAGUAUCUCACUCAAAUAGCUUAUAGUCCAUUUGCUGUCCAUUCCUCGGCAAUUCCAACUUAAAAUUCUCAUUUAAAAAUUAAUAUUUUAUUUUCUCCGGAGAGCCAGAAACAACGGGUGUGAUGAUACCAUGUGUCUCCAAACCAAGUAUAUUCUAUCCUUUGUGACCAUUCCAUGAAAUACCAUAAAAACUCCAGUAUCUUGAGAAAAAGAGAGACACGUGUAUGAAUCAAAUAAGUCUUUUUUAUUCCAAUACUUAAACUCACAAAUAUAAAUAAGCAACAUUAAAAAUGCAACAAGAACCAAAGAAACCAUAACACCAGGAGAGAAAACGUGACCAAAGAUCCCAAACAGCUUCCAUAACUGAUAUUUUAUUGAAAAUAUCAAACGCUUCCUGUUGGCUUCACCACUUCAUACGAUGUCCUGCUAUCGGUUACCAAAGGUAACUGUAAAGAAGCUGACGAGUGCAGUUUCACAAUUCUGGUGGAGUCCAGGGGGAAGCAUUAGAGGCAUGCAUUGGAAAUCAUGGGAUAAAGUAUGUGUAUAAAAGGAUGAAGGAGGUUUGGGAUUUAAGAACAUCACAGAUUUCAAUACGGCGAUGCUUGGUAAACAGUUAUGGCGAUUGAUUGAAAAGCCUAACACUUUAUUUUCUCGAGUUUUCAAAGGUCGGUAUUAUAGGGGAAUACUUCACCCUUGGAACCGAUUCGUUCAUAUUCUCCGUCUUAUGGCUGGCGGAGUAUUGUUUCUACUAGAUCUCUGGUAAGCAAAGGACUAAUCAAAAGGGUGGGAUCAGGACCUUCUAUUUCUGUAUGGAGUGAUCCUUGGCUCCCAACCACUCGCCCGAGACCAGCUAAUAAAAAUCAACACAACUUUUAUCCGAACCUUAACGUGGAGUCUCUCAUUGACUCUACCUCGCGUACUUGGAACUUUGAGGCAAUUCAGAUUUUGGUGGAUCCCCAAGACGCAAAACUUAUAGAAAGCAUCCCUUUGAGCAGGACUCAGCAGAUAGAUAGAGAUGGAUGGCACUUUACAAAAACUGGGAAAUAUUCUGUCAAGUCAGGAUAUCAGGUAGAACGGAUCUAUCCAGAUAGAGAAAGACCACCUUUACUGAUUGGCCCCACAGUUGAUGUUUCGAAGGCUUACUGUUGGAAAAUACGGUGUCCACCAAAGUUGAAACAUUUCCUAUGGCAAUUAGUGACAUGGUGUAUAGCAGUGCGAAAGAAUUUACACGCAAGGGGGAUUCAAGGGGAUACUUGUUGUGUAAGAUGUGGAGCUCAUGAGGAAUCGAUAAAUCAUGUGUUUUUUGAAUGUCUUCCAGCUCUCCAGGUUUGGGCUCUCUCGAAGAUACCAUCAAAUCCAGUUUUUUUUCCAACAAGUGCCCUCUUCACAAAUAUUGAUCAUCUAUUUUGGAGAGUCCUUCCGCAGAUGGAGGAUCACCAGUUUGCUUGGAUACUUUGGUACAUCUGGAAAGCUAGGAAUAAUAAAGUGUUUAGUAAUUUGGACAUGGAUCCUAUGGAUACGCUUAAAUUGGCAGAAACGGAAUCGACAUUGUGGGCUGAAGCACAAGUAUUACAGGAUCAGAGAAUGGCUCCACAAAUAAACACGCUCUUACCGUCAAUUCCAGGAAGAUGGUGUUUUACAGAUGGCUCGUGGAAAGAUGGUUAUAAUUUUUCAGGACAAGGUUGGCUCAGUACUUUGGAAGGUUUUGAUGGAUUGUUGGGGGCAAGGAAUGUUAGGGCUAGUGUCUCGCCUCUUCAUGCGGAGAUGGAAGCGUUACUAUGGGCAAUGGAAUGUAUGCAGAAUUUACGUCAAUUUCAGGUUACGUUUGCAACAGAUUGUUCUCAAUUGGUGAAGAUGGUUUCGGAACCAGAGGAGUGGCCAGCUUUUGCAAAUUAUUUGGAAGAUAUCAAGAUCUUGAAAGGUGCUUUACCCGAUCAGAGCUAAUCUAUGUACCACGGACGCGAAACUCAAAGGCGGAUAGUCUAGCACGCAGUGCUAGAAACCAAUUGUCUUUUGUCGUUCCCAUAGAUGCAGAUCACCCGGUUUGGUUUACAGAGUCGAUAUGAGUCUAUAUAGUUGAUGAUAAAAAAAAUAUUAGAUUUAAAAUAAUAAUAUAAAAUUAUUGGAUUACAUCUUCUAUAUUUUUGUUAUAAUGUUUCGAUUUACGCUUAAAUAUAAAGAAAAUAAUGAUUUAGUGUUAAAUGAGAUUUGCUAUAUGCUUUUAUAAAUUUUUACCCAAUUAAAACAAAACUAAAAAAAUCAACUUGAGAACUAAACAAACACGAACUUAACCAACUAAACCGAAUCAAACAUAAACCAAACUGAACUAUAACUGAAUCAAACAUAAACCAAACACAAGACAAAUUAAAUUAAUUUCGGUUGACUUUAAUUAAAAUUUUCUUAGACCCAAAUAAACUAAACCAAAUCUGAAUUUAAAUCGAAUUGCCCACCCUUAAUUGGUAAUGAAUCGGGGAUUGGUUCCAAAAAGUAAGAACAGGAAAAAUUAAUUAUUGUACGGAAACAUGAUGGUCAUGGAAACUGUUUGUGUGCAGAGAACGUUUCCGUUAAUUACUCGCAAUCUAUGUGCCUUCUUGCUCCAUCGCAAGUACGUACGUAUAUUUACUCAAUAAAAAUAGUUUUACUUACAAAUCUGCUGGAAUAUUUUUACUGCUUUUAGGUAGGGAGAUUAGAAUAAAAGUUGUAAGGCUAUGAGAUAAUUAUCCCCCCCACCAAAUGUAGCAUAAUGAGAAGCAUCAUGUCAUUGCCAUUUGCCAGUAAUAGCUUCAACUACAAGGCUAAUUACAAAUACACUUCAUUUUAAAAGGUUGGUAAAAGUCAAACUAACAAUAGUGAAAUUGUUUGGUUGAAUAUUGGUGUAGCUGAGGCACAAAGGAUAUUAACAUCUGCAUUUAAUACAUUUUAGUUGCUCUAAUUUUUGAGAAAAAAAAUUAAAAAUUAUUCCUAGAAAAAUCUACUAAAAGUCUAAAGCCGAAUUGAAAAAUUAUUUGAUGUGUUUGUCUGGUAAAACAUUAACAAAAAAGUGAUCAACACUUCAACAGUCCCCAAAAUAUUUUAAAAGCAGUAAAAUAUGACAAUACAAAAAAAAAUUGAGAACUCCACUUUCCGACUUCCAAUAUCAUUAGAACAUCUUUAGUUAGAAAUAUGGUUCCUCUAAUUAAAUCUUUCAAAUAUAUAUAUACAAAAUAUUUAUAUUUUAUUAAAGAUAUCUCAAAAUAUUAUUUUGUUAAUAUAGUAUUAUAUUUUUGAGAAAUUUUGUGAAAAACCAUGUUCUUAUUACUAUAUUUUGUAACUCAUAACAGUCAAAAUGAUAUACUUUUACCGCAUUGUGAUCAUUCCAACAUGAUAAUUGGCCAUUUUGAUUUUAGUGAUAGAUGUUCAUUAUAAUCAUUGAUUAACAAUGACCAACUAUCAGCAUACAUAACUUUUACAUAUCUUGAAAAGGGAUUUUGGUUUGAAAUCUCUCCGUUAUUAUAAACAAAAGAUUAUAUAAAUUAAUUUGCACCACUAAAACCAAUAUACAGUAUAUAUAUAUGGUUUAUAUAUGCUAUAUAUAUUUAUAUAUGGUUUAUAUAUAUUUCCCCAAAAAAAUGGUUUAUAUGUAGGUAACCAUCAUUUUUUGUUGUUUAUAACUUCUUAUUUCACCUUUCUUUUCCACUGACAAUAGCUUUGUUCAUAUAGGCUUAAAUUUUCAAUAAGAGAGAAAAGAGCCAAAAAUG
rnacentral:lncRNA from 1 species